CUGCGGCCGAAUCCGGCCCGGGGUCGGCAGCGCUCGAGGGGAGAACCGUGUUUAGGCGAGGAGUAAAACGGGGGUGCGCCGGUAGCACGCGAGCCCCGGCGUUCCAGAGAAUGUAAAAUCUCGACGCGGCCCCGUGCAGCAGUCCCUCCAAAACGCCAAUUGAAGCCGACCGAACCCGUUACGUUACACGGGCGGACGUGUGUGUGGGCCGGGACAAGAAGCAGCGAUCCUCAUUUUUACCGCGGAUCCGAUGUCGGUUUACUUGCCGUCAAAAAACUUGGUGAUUGUACAACUUGACAUCAGAAAAAUAGAGAUCUGCCAUCCUGCUGUGGUUUAACCCCGGCAGGCAGCGGCACCUCGCAGAAAAGCCGUGGGCUGAGAUUAAGAGAGGUUAACAGUUAAAGCAAAAGCUGCGCCCACAGGCGAAGCAAAAUCAGAAAUUAAUUCAGCACCUCCCAUCGGCCCGCAGAUGGGUGCUCUCUGCUUCCGGGGCUGCGGCUCACGUUAGCAUCACUUGGGAAGACAAACGCCAUCACUGUGGACGCCUUGUACCUUUCCUCUCUUAUGUCACCCUCAUACCUUUCAUUGCUGAGCGCGGCCACGUGGCAUGGAACGCCCUUCGGUUGAGCAGGGCUGGCUCUCCUGUGUGCGCCCCCUCCCAGCCUCUGGGCACCCCCAGCUCUGCAAUGGAGACAGAGUGCGAAACAGGGAAGGUCGUGACUCUGAAAGCGCUGCUCUAAGACAGGGCUGAGUUAUCAGUGCUGUUUUGGUCACGAAUCCAAAACACAGAAGCUCCUGUGAGGAAAAUUAACUAUCACGGACAAAACCUGGAAGAAGAGUAGAAGUAAAUUGAAAUUGUCCAUCAACUGUACUUCGUAGAAAUGUAUCACUCAGCUCCCAUGACGUCAGUGUGACUAUUUCAGUGUAAACAUGUUGGGAAAGAAAUGAGGGCUGAGACAUGAGAAAGCGUGGGUUCUGCAGCAGCUAGAAUGAGAAAAGACCCCGAUCAAGAAUUCUGGGCAUCUGAGCAUUGACUGUUCUGUCCCCAGUAAAAAACAGCAAGUGUAUUUUUUUUUGUUUACAGUGAGAAAAGACCAUGUUCUGAGAACAACACGAAUGCGUGCCAACCCUACAUCUUUCUUUAAUACCUUGUAGUUGUUUAUGGAGAGAGGUCCCUAGAGUUCAGGGAAGUGACAUGAGCCUUAAAUUAUACUUCAUAUAAGCUGUAUUACAUAUUUAUUCGAUUUCUGUUGUGAAAAAGGAAAAGAGAAAUAAGGAUACUGCAUAAUUUUAAUAAUCCUUAUCUAGAGUAAAGUCAGAAGUUUGUUUCUUCAUGUAAUUCAGCUAAUACUAGCUGUUACUUCAAGAACUAAUUUAUCUCAGUAUAUGCUUUUAAAAGCUACGUCUUUCAUUUUAUUAAGAUUGCGAGCUUUUUUCUCUCAGGUGUCAGGCAUAUUUCUAUAGUGAGGGUAACAAUGCACUGGAUCACAGCCAGUGUUUUGUUUUUUUGGUUUUUUUUUCAUUAGUUUGAAUUGUUUGUAAUAGUUUAGGCAUUGAUAUGGUAUAGUGCAACAUGUAAGCAGCUGGUUUUCUUAUGGAAAUGCAGUGAUUUUAUCAAGAAUUGUUGUAUUAUAAUUGUGUUAUAAAUCCUACAUUAAUGAAAUGAGAAAUGAUGUAGUAUGUUUUGUUUUAGAUUUUUGUUUAUCAACUAUUUUGUAUCAUUGCCAGAUCUAAUGGUAUUGCAACUUUUACUUGCAAGUUUCUAGCAAGAUGCUUAGCUUGUGAGCAAAACUAUCAUGUUGAAUGUAGUAUUUAUAGUUAUAUGGUUUAUAGUUACAAUAUACAUAAAUAUUUCAUGUGUGUGAUAAAAACAGCCUUCUACAGAUAUAUAGACAUGUGAUAAAUUAUUUAAUAGCUACCUAAGAAAUGUAAAUGCCAAGUAAUGCUGCUGGUGCUUAUUGGGGCAACUGGGAGUUUGGAGGUAUUAAGGAUGAACUCUUCAUCUUCCAUGUCUCCCAGCUCUUCAUAUGAGCACUGAAGACAGAAAAUCUAAAGUAAACAAGUCAAAAACAUUCAUAUUUUGUUAUCGUAGAAUCAUAGAAUCAUCAAGGUUGGAAAAGAAUACUAAGAUCAUCUAGUCCAGCUAUCCACCUACCACAGAUAUUGCCUGCUAAGCC
ensembl:lncRNA